AAGCACCGGCUAACUACGUGCCAGCAGCCGCGGUAAUACGUAGGGUGCGAGCGUUAAUCGGAAUUACUGGGCGUAAAGCGAGCGCAGACGGUUACUUAAGCAGGAUGUGAAAUCCCCGGGCUCAACCUGGGAACUGCGUUCUGAACUGGGUGACUAGAGUGUGUCAGAGGGAGGUAGAAUUCCACGUGUAGCAGUGAAAUGCGUAGAGAUGUGGAGGAAUACCGAUGGCGAAGGCAGCCUCCUGGGAUAACACUGACGUUCAUGCUCGAAAGCGUGGGUAGCAAACAGGAUUAGAUACCCUGGUAGUCCACGCCCUAAACGAUGUCAAUUAGCUGUUGGGCAACUUGAUUGCUUAGUAGCGUAGCUAACGCGUGAAAUUGACCGCCUGGGGAGUACGGUCGCAAGAUUAAAACUCAAAGGAAUUGACGGGGACCCGCACAAGCGGUGGAUGAUGUGGAUUAAUUCGAUGCAACGCGAAGAACCUUACCUGGUCUUGACAUGUACGGAAUCCUCCAGAGACGGAGGAGUGCCUUCGGGAGCCGUAACACAGGUGCUGCAUGGCUGUCGUCAGCUCGUGUCGUGAGAUGUUGGGUUAAGUCCCGCAACGAGCGCAACCCUUGUCAUUAGUUGCCAUCAUUAAGUUGGGCACUCUAAUGAGACUGCCGGUGACAAGCCGGAGGAAGGUGGGGAUGACGUCAAGUCCUCAUGGCCCUUAUGACCAGGGCUUCACACGUCAUACAAUGGUCGGUACAGAGGGUAGCCAAGCCGCGAGGCGGAGCCAAUCUCACAAAACCGAUCGUAGUCCGGAUUGCACUCUGCAACUCGAGUGCAUGAAGUCGGAAUCGCUAGUAAUCGCAGGUCAGCAUACUGCGGUGAAUACGUUCCCGGGUCUUGUACACACCGCCCGUCACACCAUGGGAGUGGGGGAUACCAGAAGUAGGUAGGGUAACCGCAAGGAGCCCGCUUACCACGGUAUGCUUCAUGACUGGGGUGAAGUCGUAACAAGGUAGCCGUAGGGGAACCUGCGGCUG
rnacentral:rRNA from 1 species